UUAAGCGACUAAGCGUACACGGUGGAUGCCCUGGCAGUCAGAGGCGAUGAAGGACGUGCUAAUCUGCGAUAAGCGUCGGUAAGGUGAUAUGAACCGUUAUAACCGGCGAUUUCCGAAUGGGGAAACCCAGUGUGAUUCGUCACACUAUCAUUAACUGAAUCCAUAGGUUAAUGAGGCGAACCGGGGGAACUGAAACAUCUAAGUACCCCGAGGAAAAGAAAUCAACCGAGAUUCCCCCCAGUAGCGGCGAGCGAACGGGGAGCAGCCCAGAGCCUGAAUCAGUGUGUGUGUUAGUGGAAGCGUCUGGAAAGGCGCGCGAUACAGGGUGACAGCCCCGUACACAAAAAUGCACAUGCUGUGAGCUCGAUGAGUAGGGCGGGACACGUGGUAUCCUGUCUGAAUAUGGGGGGACCAUCCUCCAAGGCUAAAUACUCCUGACUGACCGAUAGUGAACCAGUACCGUGAGGAAAGGCGAAAAGAACCCCGGCGAGGGGAGUGAAAAAAGAACCUGAAACCGUGUACGUACAAGCAGUGGGAGCACGCUUCGGCGUGUGACUGCGUACCUUUUGUAUAAUGGGUCAGCGACUUAUAUUCUGUAGCAAGGUUAACCGAAUAGGGGAGCCGAAGGGAAACCGAGUCUUAACUGGGCGUUAAGUUGCAGGGUAUAGACCCGAAACCCGGUGAUCUAGCCCAUGGCAGGUUGAAGGUUGGGUAACACUAACUGGAGACCGAACGACUAAUGUUGAAAAAAUUAGCGGAUGACUUGUGGCUGGGGGUGAAAGGCCAAUCAAACCGGGAGAUAGCUGGUUCUCCCGAAAGCUAUUUAGGUAGCGCCUCGUGAAUUCAUCUCCGGGGUAGAGCACUGUUCGGCAAGGGGGUCAUCCCGACUUACCAACCCCGAUGCAAACUGCGAAUACCGGAGAAUGUGUAUCACGGGAGACACACGGCGGGUGCUAACGUCCGUCGUGAAGAGGGAAACAACCCAGACCGCCAGCUAAGGUCCCAAAGUCAUGGUUAAGUGGGAAACGAUGUGGGAAGGCCCAGACAGCCAGGAUGUUGGCUUAGAAGCAGCCAUCAUUUAAAGAAAGCGUAAUAGCUCACUGGUCGAGUCGGCCUGCGCGGAAGAUGUAACGGGGCUAAACCAUGCACCGAAGCUGCGGCAGCGACACUAUGUGUUGUUGGGUAGGGGAGCGUUCUGUAAGCCUGCGAAGGUGGCCUGUGAGGGUUGCUGGAGGUAUCAGAAGUGCGAAUGCUGACAUAAGUAACGAUAAAGCGGGUGAAAAGCCCGCUCGCCGGAAGACCAAGGGUUCCUGUCCAACGUUAAUCGGGGCAGGGUGAGUCGACCCCUAAGGCGAGGCCGAAAGGCGUAGUCGAUGGGAAACAGGUUAAUAUUCCUGUACUUGGUGUUACUGCGAAGGGGGGGACGGAGAAGGCUAUGUUGGCCGGGCGACGGUUGUCCCGGUUUAAGCGUGUAGGCUGGUUUUCCAGGCAAAUCCGGAAAAUCAAGGCUGAGGCGUGAUGACGAGGCACUACGGUGCUGAAGCAACAAAUGCCCUGCUUCCAGGAAAAGCCUCUAAGCAUCAGGUAACAUCAAAUCGUACCCCAAACCGACACAGGUGGUCAGGUAGAGAAUACCAAGGCGCUUGAGAGAACUCGGGUGAAGGAACUAGGCAAAAUGGUGCCGUAACUUCGGGAGAAGGCACGCUGAUACGUAGGUGAAGUCCCUCGCGGAUGGAGCUGAAAUCAGUCGAAGAUACCAGCUGGCUGCAACUGUUUAUUAAAAACACAGCACUGUGCAAACACGAAAGUGGACGUAUACGGUGUGACGCCUGCCCGGUGCCGGAAGGUUAAUUGAUGGGGUUAGCGGUAACGCGAAGCUCUUGAUCGAAGCCCGGUAAACGGCGGCCGUAACUAUAACGGUCCUAAGGUAGCGAAAUUCCUUGUCGGGUAAGUUCCGACCUGCACGAAUGGCGUAAUGAUGGCCAGGCUGUCUCCACCCGAGACUCAGUGAAAUUGAACUCGCUGUGAAGAUGCAGUGUACCCGCGGCAAGACGGAAAGACCGGGAACUCAAAGGAGACUGCCAGUGAUAAACUGGAGGAAGGUGGGGAUGACGUCAAGUCAUCAUGGCCCUUACGACCAGGGCUACACACGUGCUACAAUGGCGCAUACAAAGAGAAGCGACCUCGCGAGAGCAAGCGGACCUCAUAAAGUGCGUCGUAGUCCGGAUUGGAGUCUGCAACUCGACUCCAUGAAGUCGGAAUCGCUAGUAAUCGUGGAUCAGAAUGCCACGGUGAAUACGUUCCCGGCCUUGUACACACCGCCCGUCACACCAUGGGAGUGGGUUGCAAAAGAAGUAGGUAGCUUAACCUUCGGGAGGGCGCUUACCACUUUGUGAUUCAUGACGGGGUGAAGUCGUAACAAGGUAACCGUAGGGGAACCUGCGGUUGGAUCACCUCCUUACCUUAAAGAAGCGUACUUUGCAGUGCUCACACAGAUUGUCUGAUAGAAAGUAAAAGCAGGCGUCUUGCGAAGCAGACUGACACGUGUCCCUUCGUCUAGAGCCCAGGACACCGCCCUUUCACGGCGGUACAGGGGGUUCGAAUCCCCUAGGGACGCCACUUGCUGGUUUGGUGAGUGAAAGUCACCUGCCUGAUAUCUCAAACUCAUCUUCGGGUGAUGUUUGAGUAUUUGCUCUUUAAAAAUCUGGAUCAAGCUGAAAAUUGAAACACUGAACAACGAAAGUUGUUCGUGAGUCUCUCAAAUUUUCGCAACACGAUGAU
rnacentral:rRNA from 1 species